rnacentral:rRNA from 1 species
GGAGUGUAAAGGCACAAGGGAGCUUGACUGUGAGACUUACCAGUCGAGCAGGUACGAAAGUAGGGCUUAGUGAUCCGGUGGUUCCGCAUGGAAGGGCCAUCGCUCAACGGACAAAAGCUACCCUGGGGAUAACAGGCUUAUCUCCCCCAAGAGUCCACAUCGACGGGGAGGUUUGGCACCUCGAUGUCGGCUCAUCGCAUCCUGGGGCUGUAGUCGGUCCCAAGGGUUGGGCUGUUCGCCCAUUAAAGCGGUACGCGAGCUGGGUUCAGAACGUCGUGAGACAGUUCGGUCCCUAUCCGUCGCGGGCGUAGGAAAUUUGAGAGGAGCUGCCCUUAGUACGAGAGGACCGGGGUGGACGUACCUCUGAUGUAUCAGUUGUUCCGCCAGGAGCAUCGCUGAGUAGCUAUGUACGGAUGAGAUAAACGCUGAAAGCAUCUAAGUGUGAAACUCGCCUCGAGAUGAGAUUUCCCAUUCUUUAUGAAGUAAGACCCCUCAGAGAUGAUGAGGUAGAUAGGCUAGAAGUGGAAGUGCGGCGACGCAUGGAGCGGACUAGUACUAAUGGUUCGAGGACUUAACC